rnacentral:rRNA from 1 species
CAGUAGCCACGGUAAUACGAAGGGUGCGAGCGUUACUCGGAAUUACUGGGCGUAAAGCGUGCGUAGGUGGUGGUUUAAGUCCGUUGUGAAAGCCCUGGGCUCAACCUGGGAAUUGCAGUGGAUACUGGGUCACUAGAGUGUGGUAGAGGAUAGUGGAAUUUCCGGUGUAGCAGUGAAAUGCGUAGAGAUCGGAAGGAACAUCUGUGGCGAAGGCGACUAUCUGGGCCAACACUGACACUGAGGCACGAAAGCGUGGGGAGCAAACAGGAUUAGAUACCCCCGUAGUCCCUGUCUCUUAUAC